rnacentral:rRNA from 1 species
AGAGUUUGAUCCUGGCUCAGAUUGAACGCUGGCGGAAUGCUUUACACAUGCAAGUCGAACGAUGAAGUCUAGCUUGCUAGACGGAUUAGUGGCGAACGGGUGAGUAAUAUAUCGGAACGCAUCCAUUAAUGGGGGAUAACUAGUCGAAAGAUUGGCUAAUACCGCAUACGUCCUACGGGAGAAAGCUAGGGACCUUCGGGCCUGGCGUUAAUGGAGCGGCCGAUAUCUGAUUAGCUAGUUGGUGAGGUAAAGGCUCACCAAGGCGACGAUCAGUAGCUGGUCUGAGAGGACGACCAGCCACACUGGAACUGAGACACGGUCCAGACUCCUACGGGAGGCAGCAGUGAGGAAUUUUGGACAAUGGGCGCAAGCCUGAUCCAGCCAUUCCGCGUGAGUGAAGAAGGCCUUCGGGUUGUAAAGCUCUUUCGCAAGGGAAGAAAACUUACCCUCUAACAUAGGGUGAGGAUGACGGUACCUUGAUAAGAAGCACCGGCUAACUACGUGCCAGCAGCCGCGGUAAUACGUAGGGUGCGAGCGUUAAUCGGAAUUACUGGGCGUAAAGCGUGCGCAGGCGGUGACUUAAGUCUGAUGUGAAAUCCCCGGGCUCAACCUGGGAACUGCGUUGGAAACUGGGUCACUAGAGUAUGUCAGAGGGGGGUAGAAUUCCACGUGUAGCAGUGAAAUGCGUAGAGAUGUGGAGGAAUACCGAUGGCGAAAGCAGCCCCCUGGGAUAAUACUGACGCUCAUGCACGAAAGCGUGGGGAGCAAACAGGAUUAGAUACCCUGGUAGUCCACGCCCUAAACGAUGUCAACUAGUUGUUGGUAGAGUAAAAUCCAUGAGUAACGCAGCUAACGCGUGAAGUAGACCG